UCCCCGAUAGUCUAGUGGUGAGGAUAUCUGCUUGUCAUUCAUACGAUUCGCAGGGGACCGGGGUUCAAUUCCCCGUCGAGGAG
rfam:Colletotrichum tofieldiae strain 0861 Ct_v4_contig79, whole genome shotgun sequence.